AAAAACUCUCUCUGAAGUACGUACCAUUGUUAUCCCCAUUCAACAGAUGAGAAAACAGAGGCCUGGUGUGUGAAGCAACUUGCCGAAGAUCACCCAGAUGGCGGUCAGCCAUGCGCGUCCCACAGAAACUACAAAAGGUCCGGGCCUGCCAGGGUGGCUUUUGCCUCCCCACCCCCAACCCAUCCCAGAAUGAACCUGUUGCUGUAGCCUCGGGAAGAACAGAGGAGCCACGGCCGUCUGCAGACUCGCCUGUCUUCGCAAGGGGCAUGCUAUUUAUGAGCACUUUCUGACAGCCCAGCACAUCCCAGCCUGCUGAGGCAGCACCCUGUCCACCCAAUUCCAUCCAGGCCACUUCACUCCAAUAGCGGGUCCACGGAGGCCCCCAGUGCCUGUCUCCUCAGCCACCGUCUCUGAUGACUUCCUGGGGACAGAUGAACCUCACUGGCUUUGUGGGAAGCCCAGCAGCGCCAGGCAAGGGGCACGGUGUGCAGCUCUCCCGUGUCUCCCCACAACCACCAACUCCCUUUCUUUGGUUUCUUGGGGUCACCAUUUCCUAUUGAGUCACACGCAACCUUUGGAAAAAUUCUAGUUCUUAAAGUGAGGGACCCCAGACACUCUCCAGUUUCCAUGUGCCAUGUGGCCUAAGUUUUAAGUCAGAUCACGCUAACCAUACUCUCCAACUUGGGCGCAAAUCCACCCAACCGUUUCCAUAGGAUGCCGUCACAGAACUCACAGACUGACUUUCUUCAUGUAGAAGACACGCACGAAUAAUAGCUACCAUUUCUUGAACACCUACUACACGCAAGGCAUUGUGCCAGCUUCACAAGCAUUGUAUGGAAUUCUCAUCCAGCCAUCCUUAGGGGAGGAAUUCUGAUUCCACUUUAUACAUGGAGAAACUGAGUUCAGAGAGGUGAACCCAUUUACUCAGAAUCACACAGCAGAGAGAAGGGGCUGGCCUGCUCCAGGACCUGGGAUCUUAGCCUCAAUAGAAAUAAAAGUGACCAUCACAGUCAACUUAUUUAUGACCAAAGAAAAAAGGUAGAUCCAGGUAUUUUUAUUUUAUUUUUUAGAGAUAGGUUGUUGCUACAUUGCCCAGGCUGGACUCAAACUCCUGGGCUCAAGCAAUCCUUUCUCCUCAGUGUCCUGAAUAACCGGAACUACAGGCACGUGCCACUGCACCCAGCUUCCAGGAAUUUUUUAAGUGUCUAACAAAGUAUAAUUUUGCCUGUAAUCAAUAUCUAAUAAGUGAUUAUUUUAUGAAUAAAAUUAUAUUGGAGCAAAGGAGUGAGUUAACAAGGUUUUCUUUUGUUGUUGUUGGUAUUUGUUUUUGGCUAAAAUCCUCAAGUCAGCAUAAAACCCAGUUACAGGCCGGGCGCGGUGGCUCACGCCUGUAAUCCCAACACUCUGGGAGGCCGAGGCAGGC
rnacentral:lncRNA from 10 species